GGCGAACGGGUGAGUAGCACGUGGGUAAUCUGCCCUGCACUCUGGGAUAAGCCUGGGAAACUGGGUCUAAUACUGGAUAUGACCUUUCUCCCUAUGGGGUUUGGUGGAAAGUUUUCGGUGUAGGAUGAGCCCGCGGCCUAUCAGCUUGUUGGUGGGGUGAUGGCCUACCAAGGCGACGACGGGUAGCCGGCCUGAGAGGGUGAUCGGCCACAUUGGGACUGAGAUACGGCCCAG
rnacentral:rRNA from 1 species